rnacentral:tRNA from 1 species
GCCGCUAUCGUCUAGUGGACCAGGACAUAGGAUUCUCAAUCCUAGAACCGGGGUUCGAUUCCCCGUAGCGGCA